CCGGCGAGGGGAGUGAAAAAGAACCUGAAACCGUGUACGUACAAGCAGUGGGAGCACGCUUAGGCGUGUGACUGCGUACCUUUUGUAUAAUGGGUCAGCGACUUAUAUUCUGUAGCAAGGUUAACCGAAUAGGGGAGCCGAAGGGAAACCGAGUCUUAACUGGGCGUUAAGUUGCAGGGUAUAGACCCGAAACCCGGUGAUCUAGCCAUGGGCAGGUUGAAGGUUGGGUAACACUAACUGGAGGACCGAACCGACUAAUGUUGAAAAAUUAGCGGAUGACUUGUGGCUGGGGGUGAAAGGCCAAUCAAACCGGGAGAUAGCUGGUUCUCCCCGAAAGCUAUUUAGGUAGCGCCUCGUGAAUUCAUCUCCGGGGGUAGAGCACUGUUUCGGCAAGGGGGUCAUCCCGACUUACCAACCCGAUGCAAACUGCGAAUACCGGAGAAUGUUAUCACGGGAGACACACGGCGGGUGCUAACGUCCGUCGUGAAGAGGGAAACAACCCAGACCGCCAGCUAAGGUCCCAAAGUCAUGGUUAAGUGGGAAACGAUGUGGGAAGGCCCAGACAGCCAGGAUGUUGGCUUAGAAGCAGCCAUCAUUUAAAGAAAGCGUAAUAGCUCACUGGUCGAGUCGGCCUGCGCGGAAGAUGUAACGGGGCUAAACCAUG
rnacentral:rRNA from 1 species